rnacentral:rRNA from 1 species
AUUGAACGCUGGCGGCAUGCCUUACACAUGCAAGUCGAACGGUAACAGGUCUUCGGAUGCUGACGAGUGGCGAACGGGUGAGUAAUACAUCGGAACGUGCCCGAUCGUGGGGGAUAACGGAGCGAAAGCUUUGCUAAUACCGCAUACGAUCUACGGAUGAAAGCAGGGGACCGCAAGGCCUUGCGCGGACGGAGCGGCCGAUGGCAGAUUAGGUAGUUGGUGGGAUAAAAGCUUACCAAGCCGACGAUCUGUAGCUGGUCUGAGAGGACGACCAGUCACACUGGGACUGAGACACGGCCCAGACUCCUACGGGAGGCAGCAGUGGGGAAUUUUGGACAAUGGGCGCAAGCCUGAUCCAGCCAUGCCGCGUGCAGGAUGAAGGCCUUCGGGUUGUAAACUGCUUUUGUACGGAACGAAAAGACUCUGGUUAAUACCUGGGGUUCAUGACGGUACCGUAAGAAUAAGCACCGGCUAACUACGUGCCAGCAGCCGCCGCAGUAA